UAACAGUUGUUCCUCUUUCAACCGAGACCUAUGGGGAGGUUAAACAUAGUCUCUCAUCUUACCUUCACUUGAGGGUGGUGAAGGAAAUCGGUAAAUUG
rnacentral:ncRNA from 1 species